AUGGUGAUGAUGGAGCCGGCUGCAAAGCCGGGAGGAGGGGUCGAUCCGCCUGAAGUGAGCCUCAUCGGGGGACUCUUCAGCGUGAGAGAUUGGGAGGAGAUUCGGGCUCAAUCUAGGCGAAUAUUUCAUGGGGCGGCAGAUCGUAGAAGCUGCCUGGAGACCUUGAGGAGAAGAGCAUUGGAGUUUUUUGGCAAGUUGGAAGGUGAGAUCCCCUCUAUUCCAUCGGGGGAAGGAUCGAUCCGAUCUUCAAGAUCCUUUGUUGGCCCGAUUUCCGCGGAUUUGGGUGGCUCUGUUUUAGGAAAUUUUUGUGAUUGUAAAGGGGAUUUGGCGUCCGUGCUUGUUAAUUUGGAAGGGCAUUCAAUUGAGGGGGUCCUGGCAUGCUAUAUAUGUGGUACAGGGAGAGGUCUUUCCUUGCAAGUGCGGCUUAGUCUGUCUUCUGCUCUUUCUACCACCUGCUGUGUUCGUGAGGAGUGCGCUAUGGCGGGACAGGGAGGGAAUGUGAGUGAUAUUUUGGGGAAGAAACCAACAAGUGGAGAGGGUUCGAGGGUGGUGGUGACGAACGCCACGGCUAUGUGUUCACUGUCGGCCACUGCCCAAGCUGGACCCUCUCUCCACCAGUUGAAGACGAAGUCGUCGGGGCACAUCCGGGAUGGGGGCCGGCCUCUUGUCACUGACAUGGAGGCUGCUCGCAAGGCCGUCAUCGGUUUCCUGGUGGUAGGACGCCUCCUAUCCCCUUUCCAGGCCAACCCGAGGGUCAUCCUCGACGACCUCCGGAACACGGCGUGGAAGAACCAAGGGGUGACCACCCUCCAAGAGGCGCAACCAUGGCACUUCAAGUGGGAUGGGCUCAUCUUCACCGAGUUCGACGGCAAGGGCGACCCGGCGGAGGUUGACCUUAGCGUCAUGACCAUUUUGGUCCAGGUAUGUGAUCUCUCGUUCAACCUUGAGACGGAGAGUAUAGGGCGGUCUCUCGAGGAUCAGCUGGGAGAGGUGCUGGAGAUCUUAUUGCAUGAACCUCUCAAAUGUUCUGUAGAGUUUACCCCUUUAGGUCAUACUUCUAAGAGGUUUUGUAAAAUCCCAAGUGAUAAUAGAGUAGUUUGCUUCCCUAGAAAUCUUAGAGUUCAACCCUACUGGAAGAGUCAAGGUGCUAGCAGGAGGGGUCUCCUCUUCGGGAUCUACUCUCGAGGCGACAAGAAUUCGACUACAAGUAUCGUCAACAUCAACAACGCCAAUCCCAUGGAUGUCGUCAAGGUGGCCACUUCGGUAAGUGGACUCACUGUCUCUGAUAAGGGGCCCGCUUCUUCCGUCAAGUCGACCACCGGCCAGGAGGGCCGCUCUCAAGGGGCUUUGGCGCCUGCUAUGACUGGUGUGCCGCUUGGUCAGGUGGACUGGACGGGUGCACCGGCUGCUCUGUUCCAGGGCCUGAAGCCCCUGGAGCCAUCCCUUCAAGGUGAAGCGCAGGACCAGGAGGCUCUCAGGCGCUCUACUUCAACUACAGAUCAGGCCUUCCUGGAGGGGCAGACGCUCCUAGGUACUAUGAAUUUGGGGUUGUCCAGCCAAACCCCAGCGCCUGGGGCUGUUGCUAGCCCGCUCCUUUUCCAGCCGGGGGUGCUGGAGGCGUUGUCAAACGCCGUUGCUGACAAGAUUGCUAUGGCAGGAGGUGGUACAGAGAACAAUGCAUUGCGCUUUAAAUUCAAUGCAGCUAAGAAUCCCAUGCGGGGCAACUCAAAAAAGAAAGAUAAAAAGAAAGUGGGGCUAAACAAAGAUGAGGAUGCUCAGUUCUCCUUUGAGAAAGAAAUGGAGAGCUAUGAGCGCAUAUUAUAUGGCGAUGUAACUGUCUCGUCCAAGCGGGUGUCCACUGGUAGAGUUGAAGUAGUCCAUAAUGAGGAGGGAGGGGUUACACACAUUGCAAAGGAGAAUGACGAGAAGGAGGAGGAGUAUGUUCCGCAAGGUGUGGAAUCGGUUGGUGAAGAGAAAGAUGAAAAUGGCACAUUGGCGACCCAUGAGGAGGGAGGCUGCCGAGCAAAAUGA
rnacentral:rRNA from 1 species